rnacentral:rRNA from 1 species
ACUCCUACGGGAGGCAGCAGUGGGGAAUUUUGGACAAUGGGCGCAAGCCUGAUCCAGCCAUGCCGCGUGCGGGAAGAAGGCCUUCGGGUUGUAAACCGCUUUUGUCAGGGAAGAAAAGGUUCUGGCUAAUACCUGGGACUCAUGACGGUACCUGAAGAAUAAGCACCGGCUAACUACGUGCCAGCAGCCGCGGUAAUACGUAGGGUGCAAGCGUUAAUCGGAAUUACUGGGCGUAAAGCGUGCGCAGGCGGUUAUGCAAGACAGAGGUGAAAUCCCCGGGCUCAACCUGGGAACUGCCUUUGUGACUGCAUGGCUAGAGUACGGUAGAGGGGGAUGGAAUUGCCGCGUGUAGCAGUGAAAUGCGUAGAUAUGCGGAGGAACACCGAUGGCGAAGGCAAUCCCCUGGACCUGUACUGACGCUCAUGCACGAAAGCGUGGGGAGCAAACAGGAUUAGAUACCCU